rnacentral:rRNA from 1 species
UAGAGUUUGAUCCAUGGCUCAGAUUGAACGCUGGCGGCAGGCCUAACACAUGCAAGUCGAGCGGUAGAGAGAAGCUUGCUUCUCUUGAGAGCGGCGGACGGGUGAGUAAUGCCUAGGAAUCUGCCUGGUAGUGGGGGAUAACGUUCGGAAACGGACGCUAAUACCGCAUACGUCCUACGGGAGAAAGCAGGGGACCUUCGGGCCUUGCGCUAUCAGAUGAGCCUAGGUCGGAUUAGCUAGUUGGUGGGGUAAUGGCUCACCAAGGCGACGAUCCGUAACUGGUCUGAGAGGAUGAUCAGUCACACUGGAACUGAGACACGGUCCAGACUCCUACGGGAGGCAGCAGUGGGGAAUAUUGGACAAUGGGCGAAAGCCUGAUCCAGCCAUGCCGCGUGUGUGAAGAAGGUCUUCGGAUUGUAAAGCACUUUAAGUUGGGAGGAAGGGCAGUAAAUUAAUACUUUGCUGUUUUGACGUUACCGACAGAAUAAGCACCGGCUAA